GACGAACGCUGGCGGCGUGCUUAACACAUGCAAGUCGAACGGAGAGGCCCUGCUUUUGUGGGGUGCUCGAGUGGCGAACGGGUGAGUAACACGUGAGUAACCUGCCCUUGACUUUGUGAUAACUUCAGGAAACUUGGGCUAAUACCGGAUAGGAGCUCCUGCUGCAUGGUGGGGGUUGGAAAGUUUCGGCGGUUGGGGAUGGACUCGCGGCUUAUCAGCUUGUUGGUGGGGUAGUGGCUUACCAAGGCUUUGACGGGUAGCCGGCCUGAGAGGGUGACCGGCCACAUUGGGACUGAGAUACGGCCCAGACUCCUACGGGAGGCAGCAGUGGGGAAUAUUGCACAAUGGGCGGAAGCCUGAUGCAGCAACGCCGCGUGCGGGAUGACGGCCUUCGGGUUGUAAACCGCUUUCGCCUGUGACGAAGCGUGAGUGACGGUAAUGGGUAAAGAAGCACCGGCUAACUACGUG
rnacentral:rRNA from 1 species